rfam:Rhodococcus sp. CTA-806 NODE_4_length_424519_cov_4.72822_ID_7, whole genome shotgun sequence.
GUCGGCCUUCGGUAGUGGCCCUUCGGACACAGCAGGACCUGCUCGAUCGCAUACAGCAGGACUGCUCGUCGGUCCGUCGGGCUUCGAUCGAUGGCCGCC